UAUGGUCACACAUUAAUUCCUUCAUGUGACCAACCAUCCUCCACCUCCCAAUUGAAACCUUAAUCCAUCACCUGCUUCCAUACAUUCACCUUCACUCACUGCGUAUACUUUAUGCUAAUAUCUAGGGUUUCAAGUUAAGUUCUCCAGUCCACUUCAUCUCCGUCCCACCUCCGUCGACCUCCAGUCCACCGCAAUCGUCGUUUCACCGGAGAGACGAAGACCCCAAUUGCAGCCACCACCGCCGUUCGUAACCACCACUACCGCUCGCAACAACCACCACCAAGAGCCGAUGCUCUACGUGUGAGUAUCCUGCUCGUGUUAGAAAGUAAAAACAGUUUAAUCAUGGAAAUCGAAGAUAGGGCUGGUGGAUCGAGUGAUUCAGAGGUAUCUUCACCUGAGAGUGACAAUAAGGACCAUUGCUAUGCACAUGGUUUUUGGCAAAGAUCCAGAAUCAACCGAUCACAGAUCUUUGUCAGUUGCGGGUUUUCUCAGUUGGUGUGGCAAUGGGUGUCUCAGUAGUGCAAGGUGCAGUCCGUAUUUGUGUUUCGGACCCGAGAUAUCUUGGAUCUUCAUCAAUACAUGAGCGGGUCGGAGAAGUUCAGCAAAGUGUCUCAUGCCGUCCAAACAAGUAGGGUUGGUCAAGACUCGAGUGGAAUACUAUAUGAAUUGUUACUUUUGUUUGAUUUGGAUUUGUAGGCUCAACAUGAAUUGUUACAUUUUGUUUGAUUUGGAUUUGGCGCGUUUGACGCGUUUCAUUUUUAAAUUGUUGUAUUUUGACGUG